rnacentral:lncRNA from 1 species
GACUCAUGGAGGUUAAAAGUUAAAACACAGAGCAACAUCAAACUAAAGAAAGUAUUCCACAGUAAACGGAAAUGAAAAUAAAAUCACUCUACCACAAAACAAGUAGAACGCAGCAAGGAAAUUUCAGGGUUGCCCACAAGGUUGUGGGCUAGCUCAUUUCGUCGUUGUGAGCUUCGGCAUGCAAUCCAUUACUGUGCAAAGAGCUAAAGGAUGAAAAUUUUGCUAAACCAAAGUCACAUAUAAACAAGAGACUAAGCUCUAAUUGCUAACUACAAGCUGUACAGACUUAGCAUCAGUCUCCCUGUCCAGUUGUCAUUCAAGAAAAAUCAUGCUGAAGCAGCACUUGGAAAAUGUAAUACAACAGACCCUCGCAGAGUGUUUCAAGGCAAUUAAUCUUCAGUUACAGACACCAACAACAUCCAGCAUAAGUUUACAAUGUUAAAGAAGACAUCUAUAGUCAAUAAAUGUCUCUUCAUUUCCUUUAACCAGUUAUUAUUCAGUAACAGUUCAAGUACAAAUAUGUGCAGCUGGAGGAGGACCUGCUUUCACAAUCCUGGAAGUUCACUCUGCAAAAAUUGGAAGUCCAGUUGAGAAUAAUAUAUAGCUUAAUGAAACUUAAAAACAACAAAUUCUCAAAUCCCUUAUUACAAGUUAACUCCCACUUUGUCCAAUACUUACCAAUCUCUUGAUAAAAACUAUAGCUCAACAAACAAGUGUAUGGCAGAAAUAAGCCAACCAAACUCAUUUGAUAAAUGAAAAUUCGUCAAUAAUACAACUUAAGUUUUGAAGGCAUCAGUCGAAAGAAGAAGCCAGUAAAGAAAAGCUCACCUUGGUGAGAAUAAUAUAUAGCUUAAUGAAACUUAAAAACAACAAAUUCUCAAAUCCCUUAUUACAAGUUAACUCCCACUUUGUCCAAUACUUACCAAUCUCUUGAUAAAAACUAUAGCUCAACAAACAAGUGUAUGGCAGAAAUAAGCCAACCAAACUCAUUUGAAGGCAUUAGUUGAGAAUAAUAUAUAGCUUAAUGAAACUUANGGGUUAGAAGAACCAUUUAUACCAGAAGGCUUUCAUCCAUCAGAGGAAUGACUCUAGCCAGAGGAGUCAUCCGUACCAGAGAAGUCAUUCUUGACAGAGGAGCCCUCUCCUCCAGAGAAAUCAUCCGCGCCGGAAAAGUCACCAUCGUCAGGGAAGUCAUGGUCAUCAGAAAGGUCAACUCCAUCAGAGAAGUCAUUACCGCCAGAGGAGACGCCCUGGCCAGAGAAGACGUGUUUACCAGAGGAGUCCUUCACGCCAGAGAUGUCAAUAUCGCCAGAGAAGACGCCUUCGCCAGAGAAGACAUUUCCAUCAGAGGAGCCAAUAAACGCGCGGGAAGGUCUCCCGCGUAUUAUCGAAAUUACCAACGUACCCUUCCACCACGCAGGACGCAUGCACCGAAGAUGUUUUUACUAUUUUACCCCUCCGCUUGUAAAUCUAUAAAUAGGAUCCAAGCUCGUGUAUUAUUUCUUACGCUAUCUCAUAUUUUUAAUACAACAGUCAUUUUUCUCUCUCGUAUUAAGUUUCCGAUCAUUCUACUUCGCUCUUUCCGAUCAGUUCCAAUAGGUAUAGUUUACUGUUUCAUCGUGUAGUUUUAGGUGUUGGUUUCAUUAAAUACCAGGUGUAUAAUCAGUUGUUCAUAUUAUAAAUACAUGAACUUUACUCAUUUUUUAAUAUCUAACAUGAACUUUAAAUUCUAACUAUAAAAAUACAUGAACUUACUCACUUUUUGGUAUUUAACAUAAACUUUAAAACUUAGUUAUAAAUACAUGAACUUUAAACUUAUUCAAUUUUUAAUUAAUUUUUCAUUUUUUUUUCAAAUUAGAGUUUUUCAUAAACUUUAAAACUUGGUUCAUAUCUAAAACCAAACAUCUCAAGUACAAAAUCCAUCGUCACGCAGUCUUUAAAAAUUUAUUUAUCCUACUAAUAAUAUCAAAAUGAAAAUUGACAGAUUACGUAAGAUUAAAUAGGUUAAACAACGCUGGUAGAUGCUGAGGGACUCAAAGAUCCUUCAAACGUAUAGUAUGAGAUGAAUGAAAAAUGCAAACAGGUUAGAGAACUCUUUUCAAAUUCAAAGCCCAGUUCAAUUAAUUAAAACAGGCAGCACAUUUAUGAAAACAGGAGUCAUGGACUCAUGGAGGUUAAAAGUUAAAACACAGAGCAACAUCAAACUAAAGAAAGUAUUCCACAGUAAACGGAAAUGAAAAUAAAAUCACUCUACCACAAAACAAGUAGAACGCAGCAAGGAAAUUUCAGGGUUGCCCACAAGGUUGUGGGCUAGCUCAUUUCGUCGUUGUGAGCUUCGGCAUGCAAUCCAUUACUGUGCAAAGAGCUAAAGGAUGAAAAUUUUGCUAAACCAAAGUCACAUAUAAACAAGAGACUAAGCUCUAAUUGCUAACUACAAGCUGUACAGACUUAGCAUCAGUCUCCCUGUCCAGUUGUCAUUCAAGAAAAAUCAUGCUGAAGCAGCACUUGGAAAAUGUAAUACAACAGACCCUCGCAGAGUGUUUCAAGGCAAUUAAUCUUCAGUUACAGACACCAACAACAUCCAGCAUAAGUUUACAAUGUUAAAGAAGACAUCUAUAGUCAAUAAAUGUCUCUUCAUUUCCUUUAACCAGUUAUUAUUCAGUAACAGUUCAAGUACAAAUAUGUGCAGCUG